rnacentral:sRNA from 1 species
UACACCUCUGACGGUUGAAAUACCGUUUACUCACCGUUACCGGGAGGAUAAGUGGAAAUGAGACCGAUACAGGGCGGGGCGUAAAGCGGUCGCACCUGCGUCCCCGUAGGCGAUAGAA